rnacentral:rRNA from 1 species
UGCCUACGGGACGCAGCAGUGGGGAAUAUUGCACAAUGGGGGAAACCCUGAUGCAGCGACGCCGCGUGAGUGAAGAAGUAUUUCGGUAUGUAAAGCUCUAUCAGCAGGGAAGAAAAAAGACGGUACCUGACUAAGAAGCCCCGGCUAACUACGUGCCAGCAGCCGCGGUAAUACGUAGGGGGCAAGCGUUAUCCGGAUUUACUGGGUGUAAAGGGAGCGUAGACGGCGCGGCAAGUCUGAGGUGAAAGGCAGGGGCUUA